ACUGCUCAGUAACACGUGGAUAACCUGCCCUUGGGUCCGGCAUAACCCCGGGAAACUGGGGAUAAUUCCGGAUAACGCAUAUAUGCUGGAAUGCUUUAUGCGUAAAAUGGAUUCGUCUGCCCAAGGAUGGGUCUGCGGCCUAUCAGGUAGUAGUGGGUGUAAUGUACCUACUAGCCUACGACGGGUACGGGUUGUGAGAGCAAGAGCCCGGAGAUGGAUUCUGAGACAUGAAUCCAGGCCCUACGGGGCGCAGCAGGCGCGAAAACUUUACAAUGCGGGAAACCGUGAUAAGGGGACACCGAGUGCCAGCAUCAUAUGCUGGCUGUCCGGGUGUGUAAAAUACACCUGUUAGCAAGGGCCGGGCAAGACCGGUGCCAGCCGCCGCGGUAACACCGGCGGCCCGAGUGGUGAUCGUGAUUAUUGGGUCUAAAGGGUCCGUAGCCGGUUUGGUCAGUCCUCCGGGAAAUCUGAUAGCUCAACUAUUAGGCUUUCGGAGGAUACUGCCAGACUUGGAACCGGGAGAGGUAAGAGGUACUACAGGGGUAGGAGUGAAAUCUUGUAAUCCCUGUGAGACCACCUGUGGCGAAGGCGUCUUACCAGAACGGGUUCGACGGUGAGGGACGAAAGCUGGGGGCACGAACCGGAUUAGAUACCCGGGUAGUCCCAGCCGUAAACGAUGCUCGCUAGGUGUCAGGCAUGGCGCGACCGUGUCUGGUGCCGCAGGGAAGCCGUGAAGCGAGCCACCUGGGAAGUACGGCCGCAAGGCUGAAACUUAAAGGAAUUGGCGGGGGAGCAC
rnacentral:rRNA from 1 species